AGCAGAGUGGCGCAGUGGGAGUGUGCUGGGCCCAUAACCCAGAGGUCAGUGGAUUGAAACCAUCCUCUGCUA
rfam:Alligator sinensis unplaced genomic scaffold scaffold516_1, whole genome shotgun sequence